rnacentral:misc_RNA from 1 species
UCGUAACAAGGUUUCCGUAGGUGAACCUGCGGAAGGAUCAUUAAAUAAUCAAUAAUUUUGGCUUGUCCAUUAUUAUCUAUUUACUGUGAACUGUAUUAUUACUUGACGCUUGAGGGAUGCUCCACUGCUAUAAGGAUAGGCGGUGGGGAUGUUAACCGAGUCAUAGUCAAGCUUAGGCUUGGUAUCCUAUUAUUAUUUACCAAAAGAAUUCAGAAUUAAUAUUGUAACAUAGACCUAAAAAAUCUAUAAAACAACUUUUAACAACGGAUCUCUUGGUUCUCGCAUCGAUGAAGAACGUAGCAAAGUGCGAUAACUAGUGUGAAUUGCAUAUUCAGUGAAUCAUCGAGUCUUUGAACGCAACUUGCGCUCAUUGGUAUUCCAAUGAGCACGCCUGUUUCAGUAUCAAAACAAACCCUCUAUCCAGCAUUUUGUUGAAUAGGAAUACUGAGAGUCUCCUGAUCUAUUCUGAUCUCGAACCUCUUGAAAUGUACAAAGGCCUGAUCUUGUUUAAAUGCCUGAACUUUUUUUUAAUAUAAAGAGAAGCUCUUGCGGUAAACUGUGCUGGGGCCUCCCAAAUAAUACUCUUUUUAAAUUUGAUCUGAAAUCAGGCGGGAUUACCCGCUGAACCUAAGCAUAUCA